AUCCCAAAAUAGAAGUAAACAGUUUUUGGACAGAAGAGAUUUCUGAAAAAUUUGUGUCCCAAUGGUU
rnacentral:snoRNA from 1 species